rnacentral:lncRNA from 1 species
AUUUUAAACUUGUUAAAAGAGGGUAAAUCAAAACAACCGAGGAAAAGACGUUUUAAAAAACAGAAACACGCAGUUCAAGAUAAGUUAGUUGUAAAUCUGUCAUCAAUAGAACUAACUACCUCUGAGGAAAAACUAUUGAGUAAAGGCCUUAAUUUCUGUCCAGCUCCAGCAACCGUCAACAAUUUACAACUUGAGACAGAUGUAGAAGCAUUUGCCAGGCGUCUUCGGUUGAAAGAACAUUUCAAUAGAC